rnacentral:lncRNA from 10 species
AGAGGGUCCAGAGAAAGGUGGGGAUUCCCUAACCCCUUCUUUCUUGGCACAGACAGGCAGAGAACACCUCUUUUCUCACCCCUGGGCAGCCCCAGGAAGUCAAUCCUUCCACUAUUCCUGCUCCGUGCCUCUCUUCCCUCUGCCCAGAUUCCUGGGAGACUCAAAACCCUGUUCAACUCUCUCUGGGCUAGCUGCUCCCCUCCCCAAGAGGAUUUCUCUCCAGAGCUGGUAUCAUCGCUUAAUGAUGUUCCACCAACAAGGGGAAGAUUCAGCCAUGUCUUCCUAGGAUCCAGCAUCCAAACCUGGACCAAAGUCCUCGGAUCCUCAGCAAUGGGGGUGCAUCUGGUGAUGGUGUUCAUGCUAAAUUUGUGCCAAGAGACACCUGUACUUGUGGGAGAAUUAAUAUUUCACUUCUGUUUAGGUUUCUUUUCUGGGAGCUGCUAUCACUGAAUACAUAAAGAAAUUGAGCCUAUAUGAUUUCAAUCUUCACCUUCUGAUGCUGAUGAAACAGGAUUCUAUGCAGUUUUCCACAGGGAGAAGCAGCAGGCUGAAGUGGCUCUUUAGGGAGACACAUACCUCCACAGGAAGAGCAGUCUAGAUUGUUUUAGCACAUUCCACUUAAGGAUUGCAGUGUGACAGCAGAGAAAAUCCUCUCCAGUCAAGUAAUUGCAUCCAUUUCAUCUUCCCAGCCCUCCUCUAGAUGGGAGGUGGAGGUGUGUGUACCAAUCUCUUAAUUCAGAAAUGAGACAAGAGGAGGAAAAAGGAGUUCCGGAGGACAGUGGGGACCCCAGCCAGAGCCUGGGGACUUGGCUGCCUUGGAACCAGAACCUGGCCCCUCAGAGGAGUUGCAGAAUUUCGAUAGAGGAGUGGCAGGAGGUGUACUGGCUGAAGAGGAGGCCCAAGGGAAGAGAACGUUGCCCUCAUUGGUCUGGAAUCAGCAGGUACCUCAUGGCUGGAGGUGUAUUUUCAGACUCCUUUGGCAUCUGGUGAGGCCUGUGGAUUCAUUCUCAGAAUCACAUUUUUAAAUGCACAUAAUAAAAUACAUAGAAUUGCAAAGGAAGUUAAUUAUAUUGAAAUACAGUUAUCAAAAAUAUAAAUAAAACAAGUAUGUGGUACAGUCAUAUGUGUGCUUCUUUAUUAAGUCAUUACAAAGCAAGAUCUAUUUGGAGGUCUAAUAACUGUCAUAUGCUUGAAAAAAUCCUUAACAAUCAUAAUAUAUUAAAAAAUCUGAUUUCUACUUUGGCAAAUCAUAGAUAUUGCUGAAACUGUGGUUUAUUGCCUGCAUUCAUAAUUGAAGGAAAUGCUAGAGUUCAGUGAGAAGGUUGUGAAAAUAAAGAGAGCCUUUUUUUCUCAUCAAG